UACGGAGGGUGCGAGCGUUGUCCGGAUUUAUUGGGUUUAAAGGGUGCGUAGGCGGCCUUUUAAGUCCGGGGUGAAAGCCCGUUGCUCAACAACGGAACUGCCCUGGAUACUGGAAGGCUUGAGUACAGACGAGGUUGGCGGAAUGGACUGAGUAGCGGUGAAAUGCAUAGAUACAGUCCAGAACCCCGAUUGCGAAGGCAGCUGACUAGGCUGUUACUGACGCUGAGGCACGAAAGCGUGGGGAGCGAACAGG
rnacentral:rRNA from 1 species